AGUUGCUCAUUCACCUCUUUAUGAUAGUCCCGCUGUAAAGCGGAAUAUGCACUUCAUAAGCCACCGAAUGAUGCCUAAGACUGGUACCUAUCGUCCACCCAAACCGAUAUCGUGCGAAUGCACCUAUCAAACAUCGGACGACACGUUGAGUGAGGUGCCGCCUA
rnacentral:sRNA from 1 species